rnacentral:rRNA from 1 species
AAGGUCCCAAAGUCAUGGAUAAGUGGGACACGAUGUGGGAAGGCACAGACAGCCAGGAUGUUGGCUUAGAAGCAGCCAUCAUUUAAAGAAAGCGUAAUAGCUCACUGGUCGAGUCGGCCUGCGCGGAAGAUGUAACGGGGCUAAACCAUGCACCGAAGCUGCGGCAGCGACACUAUGUGUUGUUGGGUAGGGGAGCGUUCUGUAAGCCUGCGAAGGUGACCUGUGAGGGUUGCUGGAGGUAUCAGAAGUGCGAAUGCUGACAUAAGUAACGAUAAAGCGGGUGAAAAGCCCGCUCGCCGGAAGACCAAGGG